rnacentral:tRNA from 1 species
GCGGCUGUGGUUCAACGGCAGAAUGUCCCCGUGCCAAGGAGACGAUCCGGGUGCGAUUCCCGGCGGCCGCUCCA